rnacentral:rRNA from 1 species
GAUGAACGCUAGCUACAGGCUUAACACAUGCAAGUCGAGGGGUCUUUUGGAGCUUGCUUUAAAAGACGACCGGCGCACGGGUGAGUAACGCGUAUCCAACCUGCCCUUCAUAUUGGGAUAGCCUUCCGAAAGGAAGAUUAAUACCGAAUAAAAUGAUAAAGUUGCCUGAUUUUAUCAUGAAAGUUCCGGCGAUGAAGGAUUGGGAUGCGUUCCAUUAGGUAGGAGGCGGGGUAACCGCCCACCUAGCCGACGAUGGAUAGGGGUUCUGAGAGGAAGGUCCCCCACACUGGAACUGAGACACGGUCCAGACUCCUAUGGGAGGCAGCAGUGAGGAAUAUUGGUCAAUGGGCGCAAGCCUGAACCAGCCAAGUAGCGUGAAGGAUGACUGCCCUAUGGGUUGUAAACUUCUUUUAUACGGGAACAAACCCCGGUACGUGUACCGGAUUGCGUGUACCGUAUGAAUAAGCAUCGGCUAACUCCGUGCCAGCCGCCGCGGUAACAC